rnacentral:lncRNA from 1 species
GACGCAGUGUUACCAUCGAUCGUCCGCGGGCAACGGACUCUGCAAAAAUCAUUUUUUUUUUCUUCCUUCUUUUAAUUUGUAGACCGGUUUUCAAAAAAAAAAAAAUAAAUAAAUAAAUAAAAAUUGUACUUGUAAUUCAUUUGUUGUUUUUCUUUUUCACAUCUCGUCCAAUCAUUUAUUAUGCAACGAAUACGCCAAUCUUCCCCAAAUCGACAGGGCGCAGACAUUGAAUUUGAUCGACGCUGCGAGACGACCGUCGCUGGACUUUUGUUCGAUAUUAAUAAACAUACGUCAUUUCAAAAUAUUAUACGCACCUACCUACAAUUUCCAAUUUGGUAAAUCACGUCAUGCACUGCGAUUUUCAAAAACUAUCGGUAAAUGUUUAACGAAAUAAUGUUAAUUAUAAUUUUGCGCAAUGCGAUUGUAUUCCGAGCAAACUAAAUUAUUAUAUAAGAUGUAUUGCAUACAAAAUAAAAAAAAUCGGUUGAUAAUAUUUUUUAUAAGGUAUUAUACUUAUCUAUGUAUCGAGAGUCUAAUAUUGCUAUUUUUAUGAAUUACACUUUUCACGCUUUUAAUAAUGUUAUUAAGCGUGUAUAGGUAUUCGAAUAAAAUUAUUACAUCGUGCGUAAAAUACCGUAAAGUGCAAUAAGGUUGAUAUUGAAACGUUAUUAGAUAUGUGUUUAUUAUUGAUUUAUUAUCCGGAUUAUUGGAGAAAUAAGAUACGCAGCAUAAAAUCGUGUACUGUUUUAUUUAGAAAUGCGUUUCGAUAAAAUAAUGAAUGAAAACAGGUGGUUAAAAGGUUUUUGAAUAUUUAGAUGCGCGUACGGCGUGUUAAUAUUGUUAUAGGGCUGUGGAAUGCUUUUAAAAUCUUAACAAGUAUUGUAAAAAAUCGUUUUAAAAGUAUAAAAACAACCAUUAAGUUUUAUUAAAACGAAAAAUUAUAUUUUUAAUUAUUUUGCGGGUAUAAAGCAUCGACAUUAAGGAAUAAUAUAGUUUAACCACUAUUAUAAUAACCGUCAAUUUCCACUAUACAAUUUUAAAUAACACGAAAAAAAUAUUAAAUUCAUCCUACAGCGUAGUUUGAAAUUAAACAUGUUACUUUUUUUAACGAGUACCUAACUCUAUCCUAACUACUAACUCCAUUACCAAAAAACCGGGAAAAUUUACGAAAUGUGUGAUUUUCAAUUUUAUUAUGAUUCAAUUAACCUGACUUUUGGCUUUUGACUUGACAAUUAACUUGACCAAACAGAAAUGCUUGAAAACUUAACAGGAGGUGCAAUAUAAGUCGUAUUUUGUGGUAAAAAAAAUCGAGUGCAAUGUAAUAUUUUUUUUUUUAAAGAAUUUAGUUUCAAAUUUCGAUGAAAAUCGUACGGCUUUUCAAAAAAUGUAUAUAGCUCUGCUCAAAAUCGUUUUUCGUUAGCAAUGAUUUAUCUGAAAUAAUUUUAAACAAAACCUGCAAAAGUAAUCGCCAAUCCGUAUUUGAAACCGAUCGUAAUUUCGUAAAAUCCGACUUUAUCUAUACUUCAUAAACGGUAUAGGCAGAUAUAAUUUUAUGAAAACGCGGUCCAUCUGAUUGGUCCGCGACAUUGUUCUUGGACUCCGAUCAACAAUCACAAUGACGUCGGAAUAGCGCUAAAUGUUUAUCAACCGCAAUUUUUUUUUUCGUGUUUGUGCAUUUUUCAAAGUUUGUUUCCGACAAACUAAAUUGACAGUUGAAUGAUACCUUCCACGAAAAACGUUUAUAGGUAUCCAAAAUAAGACUUGUCAAAUCGAAUAGGUUUUCUUAUACAUUAUUAUAAUAUUUGUUGUUAGUAUUAUUUAAUCUAAUUUUUUGUCAAACUUCAAUCACAAUUUUCCUUUUUUUUUUUUUUAAGGUUCUAACGAAAUACAAUGACACUAUUCCAUGUAACUAACUCGAUAUACUUAUUGGUACUGGAAAAAAUCUUUUUUUCUAACACAUCAAAAAAAAAAAAAAAAAACUGACAUACUGGCUGAACCAAUGUUGUAUGUGAGAAGUUGGGAGGUAGGAUAUAGAAGGGAGGAGGAUUUAAUGUGUAUUUGUACGUAAAAGUUUCUGAGCGGAAUUCGAUUAUACAUAUUUUGAAAGGACAUAAUAUUUAUUAGUUUUGUCAAAUUCGAUAUUAAAAUUCUUAUAAAACAAAUUCUAUAUUACACUUAUUUUUUUUUUUUUUUACCACAAAGUACGAUUUACAAUGUAAUCCCUAUUAAAUUGUUAAGCAUUUCUAUUUCGUCUAACAAUUUUACCCCUCGGGUACUCUGUGGAUAAAAAUUACAUAAAAAACCUAUCAUGUCCACCACAUGUUGUAUCUGGUCCUAUUCCAAGAUACUUAAAAGUUUCCACUCUCUCAAAUCUCAUUCUUCCUAAUACUAUUUCUCUCUGAUUGUGGACUUUACGCGAUAAUAUCAUAUACUUUGUUUUGCUUUCAUUAAUUAUUAAUUCCAUACCUUUACUUUUUUUAUCGGGUUCAUUGAGGUCGUUCUUAAAAAUAGAAUUGUUACGAAACAACUUACCAUGUCUCAGAUGAAUACUAGAUUUUUAAAAAGUGAAAAAAUAAAAAGUAAUUUUUUUCAAUGAUUGAGGGAUGAAAAUACAAAUUUAACUUUUCUCUACAUUCGUGUCACCCUGACCUAAACCCGGUUGAAAAAAAAUGAACAUUAAUAAAAUUAUUAGCAUUCGGAUAACACUAUAGGGCACUCGGUAUACUAAUAUAUUGUUAUGUCUUACUUAUUGAUACUAAAUAUUCAAAACUUUCAACACAUUUAUUUUAUUUUAUUAUUAAAAUAAGUAUUUUACAUUUUUUAUUAUUUAGUUGAUAACGUUUGAACCGAAGGCUACAAUGAAGAGUUCGACGCGAUUCUUGUACACGAAAAAAUACAUUUUUAAUUAGUAUUCACCACCUCCGAUCUUUAAAUAAUUUAUUCGAUACACAAUUGUUAUAAAUUAUCCACGUUCUAUAAUCAAGA